rfam:Pristionchus pacificus strain PS312 contig7855, whole genome shotgun sequence.
UCUUCAUUUCCCACACUCUCUCACCGGUCAGAGAGGCGAGAGAGUGUGUUAAAUGAAGAGA